CAGAUAUCAGAAGGAACACCGAUGGCGAAGCAGAUCUUUGGCCGUAACUGACGCUGAGAACGAAAGCGUGGGAACGACAGNAUUAGAUACCUUGGUAGUCCACNCCGUAAACGUUGGCGCUAGAUGUAGGGCCUUUCCACGGUUUCUGUGUCGUAGCUAACGCAUUAAGCGCCCCGCCUGGGAGUACGGCCGCAAGGUUAAAACUCAAAGGAAUUGACGGGGGCCCGCACAAGCGCGGAGCAUGCGGAUUAAUUCGAUGCAACGCGAAGAACCUUACCAAGGCUUGACAUACACCGGAAACGGCCAGAGAUGGUCGCCCCCUUGUGGUCGGUGUACAGGUGGUGCAUGGUUGUCGUCAGCUCGUGUCGUGAGAUGUUGGGUUAAGUCCCGCAACGAGCGCAACCCUCGUUCUAUGUUGCCAGCGCGUUAUGGCGGGGACUCAUAGGAGNCUGCCGGGGUCAACNCGNAGNAAGGUGNGGAUGACGUCAAAUCAUCAUGCCCCUUAUGUCUUGGGCUUCACGCAUGCUACAAUGGCCGGUACAAAGGGCUGCGAUACCGUAAGGUGGAGCGAAUCCCAAAAAGCCGGUCUC
rnacentral:rRNA from 1 species